AUACGUAGGGGGCGAGCGUUGUCCGGAAUGAUUGGGCGUAAAGGGCGCGUAGGCGGCCCGGUAAGUCUGGAGUGAAAGUCCUGUUUUUAAGAUGGGAAUUGCUUUGGAUACUGUCGGGCUUGAGUGCAGGAGAGGUAAGUGGAAUUCCCAGUGUAGCGGUGAAAUGCGUAGAGAUUGGGAGGAACACCAGUGGCGAAGGCGACUUACUGGAAUGUAACUGACGCUGUGGCGCGAAAGUGUGGGGAGCAAACAGGAUUAGAUACCCUGGUAGUCCACACUGUAAACGAUGAAUGCUAGGUGUAGGGGGUAUCGACUCCCUCUGUGCCGCAGUCAACACAAUAAGCAUUCCGCCUGGGGAGUACGGCCGCAAGGUUGAAACUCAAAUGAAUUGACGGGG
rnacentral:rRNA from 1 species